rnacentral:lncRNA from 1 species
ACACACCACCAGGCCCAAGCACUAUCUGAGAACAGGAAAACGGGCAGCAGCCGAAUGUGUAUUCAACAAAACGUUUCCGGGAACGAUGGCUGGACAUUUCUCUUUUUUCCCAAAGAAAGGACAUUUUUAAAUAUUUUUAUGAGUAUUGAAAUGGCUUCUUGGUGUCGAGCUCAGGCUUCCUGGCUGGAUGAGCGAGUGUGUCCUUCCCACAGCACGGAGUGUUUCAUUCCAGCAGGUUCCAGGGGUGAGCAUCGGGUCAAGGAGGUAACAGAGACAGCCAGUUCCUCGACUCUGCAACUCAGGCAGCCAGCUGCAGCGAGGCCUUCAGAAGCCUGUGCAGGCUCCUGAUGAAGAAAAGUGCACGCCCGGCUCAGGUAUGACAGGCAGAUGCUUGACAGAACCACUGGCGUCAGAGAAAUCUCACAGCCUCCUCUGAAGAAUAGGAAGAAACUGGAUACAGGAAAAUGGGAACCAGGAAAAUGCUCGGCAGAGGAACCUCACAGAAGAAAAAGCCACUGCAGUGAGGACGAGGGGCCGAAGACUCAUUCUGUCUGCAGCAGAUUAAAGAGAAGAAGAAAAUGGAAAAGAACGAGGACAGGGAGUCACAGGUCCUGAGCAAUUGUGAAAUCCAGUGAGGGUUUUUAUGGCUGGAAUAACCUUCUGUGGCUCCACUCUGGACUUCAUACCGUGCCCUCUACACUUCUGAUCCCAUCCUCUACAAGUACAGUUCUGUCCCCUAAGUUACCUUUGUUUCAUAAAAAGCAGCAUGCACUUGAGCUAGAGGUUUUUGUCAGUGUGCUCCUUUCCCAUAGACUUUUGCAGGACCAACA